GACAAAAUGAAAUGUUCUAUUCAUAAAAGAACCUUGGAACAGACCACGAGACUGACAUCACUAACUACGUAAAAUGACGCCCAAGCCCCCCUUUCCACCGAGUAAGCCUCGUGCUAAAGAGCAAUGGCGACGACAUCCCAUGAUGGGAGGGUGCCUCACUAGUCACUCAAAUCUCUGAGCCAAUUAAUAAUAUUAAUGGGUGGACACUGACAUAGCCACUUAACAUUUAACCCAAUUAAUGAUGUUUAUUUGUUAUCUGAUAUUCAAUGAUGAUGUCAUUUUGCAUAUAAAAAGGCC